UUUUUGUCCUAACAAAGCUGGGAACAGCAAUGGAUACUAAAGGCCAACAACGUUUUUUGUUCGAAUGAUGGGUGAAAGUUUACGAAUGCCUAAACGUCAGUAUUAUCUGCACCAGGGCUUUGUUCACCAAGAAAUUAAGUAAAUGUACGACAAGGCUUGCACCACCAGCGGGAUAUUCUACUAACUCUGUGUGCGGCGACAUAGUCGAGUCCCAGAAAAAGUCACUGAUACUCAAACUGCCAAUAGUAAAAAAGAUCACUUCAAUGCAUUAAAACCUGGAAUAAAAUGCUGCUUGCUUCCUUCUGUUUCAUUCUUUGAAGUAAGAACCGAUGAGAUCCAUGGCUAUAGCUUCAAUCACCGCAAAAAGUGUCGGUCAGUGACCGGCUCCCUCAACUCAACUCUACCUACCGUGCC
rnacentral:lncRNA from 1 species